UACAGAGGGUGCGAGCGUUGUCCGGAAUCACUGGGCGUAAAGGGCGCGUAGGCGGUCCGGUAAGCGUGCGGUGAAAGCCCGGGGCUCAACCCCGGGUCGGCCGUGCGAACUGCGGGACUGGAGCUUGUCAGAGGCAGGCGGAAUUCCGGGUGUAGCGGUGGAAUGCGUAGAGAUCCGGAAGAACACCGGUGGCGAAGGCGGCCUGCUGGGACAAUGCUGACGCUGAGGCGCGACAGCGUGGGGGAGCAAACAGG
rnacentral:rRNA from 1 species